UACAGAGGUCCCAAGCGUUGUCCGGAAUCAUUGGGCGUAAAGCGCGUGUAGGCGGUUCGGUAAGUCGGCUGUGAAAGUCCAGGGCUCAACCCUGGGAUGCCGGUCGAUACUGCCGGACUAGAGUUCGGAAGAGGCGAGUGGAAUUCCCGGUGUAGCGGUGAAAUGCGCAGAUAUCGGGAGGAACACCAAUGGCGAAGGCAGCUCGCUGGGACGUUACUGACGCUGAGACGCGAAAGCGUGGGGAGCAAACAGGG
rnacentral:rRNA from 1 species